GCAGGCGCACAGCAGGUUCCUGUGGCCCCCAGGAGGAGGGGCGGCAGCAGGGGUAUACCCAGGAAUCCGAGAGCCCCAGGAGGUGGCUCUGAGCAAAGAGAGCAAACAGAACUCUCUGGGAAGGUUGGCAUUGCCGAUCCCCAAGCUGGAAUGCCACAGACCUGAGGAGGGAAAGAGGAGAGGAAGAAAGAGAGAAGAGGAAGAAAAACUAAAGAAAGAAGAAAGGAGAGUGGAGACAGAGAGCCAGGUGCCUGUGCAGGGUGCGGCUCUGGUGCUGAGCACGGAUGAGGCUGCGCGAGAAGGUGUGAGUGGUGCUGAAAGGGUGCCCAGAAUGGGCCCAGGAAGCUGACUGGAGGGGACACCAUGUUGUGUGAAAUCUGUGGCUGCUUUGUUUCCCGAUAACAAUGAAUGAAGACGGAAAAGAAUAUGUACAUAUAUUGGUUCAACAGACGGCUUCUAUGUGAGAUCACAAGACAAAGGAAAUACCAACCUCCUGAAUCCCAUGAGAUUCUGUUCUUAUGGUGCCCUCCACCCAAACUGGGCCACCGGUCAGCAGUGCCCGGCUCACGGAUGGAAAGCAGAGAGCAGGAUGGAAGAUGGGCCCAAGGCCAGAGGUAAGAACGAGCCAGCUCUGGAGGGAGAACUGCAGUCGCUCGUUUUGAUAGGGGAUGAUGGACUAUGUUUCCAGGAAGGCAGAUAAGAAAGCCAAACAAGCAUCUCUGCCCACUGGUGCAGGAGUCU